CCUACGGGAGGCAGCAGUGGGGAAUAUUGCACAAUGGGGGAAACCCUGAUGCAGCGACGCCGCGUGAAUGAAGAAGUAUUUCGGUAUGUAAACCUCUAUCAGCAGGGAAGAAAAUGACGGUACCUGACUAAGAAGCCCCGGCUAACUAGGUGCCAGCAGCCGCGGUAAUACGUAGGGGGCAAGCGUUAUCCGGAUUUACUGGGUGUAAAGGGAGCGUAGGCGGUUUAGCAAGUCAGAAGUGAAAGCCCAGGGCUCAACUCCGGGACUGCUUUGGAAACUGGGGAACUAGAGUGCAGGAGAGGUAAGUGGAAUUCCUAGUGUAGCGGUGAAAUGCGUAGAUAUUAGGAGGAACACCAGUGGCGAAGGCGGCUUACUGGACUGUAAAUGACGCUGAGGCUCGAAAGCGUGGGGAGCAAACAGGAUUAGAUACCCUUGUAGUC
rnacentral:rRNA from 1 species